rnacentral:rRNA from 1 species
GACGAACGCUGGCGGCGUGCUUAACACAUGCAAGUCGAACGGAAAGGCCCUGCUUUGGUGGGGUGCUCGAGUGGCGAACGGGUGAGUAACACGUGAGUAACCUGCCCUGGACUUUGGGAUAACUUCAGGAAACUGGGGCUAAUACCGGAUAGGAGCUCCUGCUGCAUGGUGGGGGGUGGAAAGUUUCGGCGGUUGGGGAUGGACUGGCGGGUUAUCAUGUUGUUGGUGGGGUGGUGGCUUACCAAGUCUUUGACGGGUAGCCGGCCUGGGAGGGUGACCGGCCACAUUGGGACUGAGAUACGGCCCAGACUCCUACGGGAGGCAGCAGUGGGGAAGAUUGCACAAUGGGCGGAAGCCUGAUGCAGCAACGCCGCGUGCGGGAUGACGGCCUUCGGGUUGUAAACCGCUUUCGCCUGUGACGAAGCGUGAGUGACGGUAAUGGGUAAAGAAGCACCGGCUAACUACGUG